GUUCUAGAACUCUGAAACACCAGACAGGAACUGAAGCAGCACCUCCAUCGUUGGAGCCUGGCUACAAGGGACAGGGGAGGACUGGCUAGAGAAGAGGUGGCAGACGGGAUCUGUGACUGACGAUUGUUCCUCACUUGGGACCAGCACAAGCCACCACCAACUUCAGGCAGGACUCCAGAGAAGGUCUGGAUUCUAGAGCCUUGCUAAGUCUACCAAGCAGUGCCCAGAGUUGGGGUCCAAAUGGUUCCUGAGAUGGAGCCCUGCAACAGACUCUACCCUGACAGCAUGGAGCCUGCCUGGGAUUCAUUCUCUCUCUCUCUCUCUCUCUCCUCUCUCUCUCCCCCUCUC